rnacentral:lncRNA from 1 species
AUAUACCACUAAAUUAUCUAAUAUGAAUUUUUUAAAGAUUCGUUAUUUUCAGAAUUAGUUAUAAAUUUUGACUCUUCAAUACUAUAAAAAGAUAAUAAACAGUAUUCUACUACAGAAGCUUUAUUUCAAAAUGAUGUGCUUUGCUAUCUAACAACUGGUGUAUUUAAAAAAAUAUGCUCUUCUUUCUUUAAAGUGGAUGCUUUUCAUACACUCCUUUUUAGAGUAUAAAAUAUACAUCUCAUCCGAUCUGCGAGUGGAGUAUC